AUAGAAUCGAAUGGAAUCAACAUCAAAUGGAAACAAAUGGAAUCAUCAUCGAAUGGAAUCGAAUGGAAUCAUCAUCAAAUGGAAUCGAAUGGAAUCAUCCAAUAUAAUAGAAUUGAAUCACCAUCGAACGGAAUCGAAUAGAAUCAUCGAAUGAACUCAAAUGGAAUCAUCAUUGAAUGGAAUCGAAUCAUCAACGAAUGGAAUUGAAUGGAAUCAUAGAAUGGAAUCCAAUGUAAUCAUCAUCGAAUGGAAUCGAAUGGAAUCAUCAUCAAAUGAAAUCAAAUGGAAUCAUCGUAUGGACUCCAACGGACUCAUCAUCGACUGGAAUUGAACAGAAGCAUCGAAUGAAAUCAAAUGGAAUUAUCAUCGAACGGACCCAUAUGGAAUCAUCAUUGAAUUGACUCAUAUGGAAUCAUCGCCGAAUGGAUUCCAAUGGAAUAAUCAUGGAAUGGAUUGGAAUGGAAACAUCAUCUAAUUGAAUCAAAUAGAAUCAUCAUGGAAUUGAAUCGAAUUGCUCACCGUCGCAUGGAAUCAAAUGGAAUCAUCGAAUGGAAUUGAAUGGAAUCAUCAUCGAAUGGAAUGAAAUGGAAUCAUCCAAUGGCCGAGAAGUGAAUCAUCAUUGAAUGGAAUCGAAUAGAAUCAUCAAAUGAAAUCCAAUGGAAUCAUCAUCGAAUGGAAUCAAAUUGUCAAUGAACGGAAUUGAAUGGAAUCAUAGAAUGGAAUCCAAUGUAAUCAUCAUUGAAUUGAACCCAAUGGAAUCAUUAAAUGGACUCGAAUGGAAUCAUCGAAUGGACUCGAAUGGAAUCAUCAUCGAAUGGAAUAGAAUGGAAUCAUUGAAUGGAAUCGAAUG
rnacentral:lncRNA from 1 species